CCUCCCCUCCGCUGGUUUUAGCAUCGUGACAGAACCAAUCCCUCGCUAGCCCUACCUCCUCUCGUGUCUCCAGUCGCAGCAGCCGCCGCCGCCGCACCCCAAUCCAACCCCGCCGCCGGCGAUCUCCUCACCCCCCUGUGCCGUCGCCUCCAACCUUCUAUUCCUCUCCCAAGGGAAGGGAAGGGAAGGGAAGGGAAGGCAAGGGAAGGGAGAGGGAGCGCCCAGAUCCACGGCGGCAUCAGCGCGUCGUCCUCGACCUGAUCCGCGUCUGUCCACGGAUGGGAGCUAAUCGGCACAGGAAAUCCCCGUCCCCGCGUCCGAGCCCCGCCACCCUCCGCAACGGCUCGACCGCCCAUCGACGCGCUGCCCCCGCGGCGCCCGACCAGUUCGGCUCUCGCGGCUGGUGGACGCGCCCUUGCUGUUGCCGACGUCGGCUCGCUGCGCCGCACUGGCCCUCACAAGCGUCUUCUGUCAAUGAUGGACUUGAGAGGUCAAGGAGUUUCCAUUGGGACAUCGGGACAUGCUCCUCCAUCUCCUCCGGUGGACGACAUCCAACAUCGCCAGUUCAUGCACUUAUGGACUGAAGAAAAAAAAUGGAAAUGAAGAAGAAAAGAAUAGCAAUAUUAUCAUAUGCGAGAAAGGAGUAAUCUGAAGUGAAUUCAUGCUAUGUUAACAGUCUAACAAACAUCUUGGAGGUGUGAAUGCUUUCUUGGGUCUGACAAGUAAUCAAUAAUUGAUGGUAUACUGGGAUUUUUCUCAUACUUCUAGCACUUCCUCAUUGACAAUAAAGCAAGUAGUAUCACAACAAAGGCUAUCCAGGUAUUUUUUUUUCAACUAUAAUCCAUCCAACUUUAGGGACUGCUCAAUUGGAUCUGCACAAUCCAACAAAAUAAAUGUACAUAGUGUCUGCGACACUUUCAUCCGAUCAUCACGAAGGUAGUUGUAGGAGUAAAAAAGUAUGUCAUACUAUUUUUUCAGUUCAAGCCAAAAGGCUAGGACAGGUAAUACCUGUUUUUACAGUACUUGUGCAAAAAGUAUGUCAUACUGUUUGCUCUAGAUGAUUUUGAUGAAUUUUACAACCUUAUUUUCAGUUGUUUACCCCAAAAAAUGGUCUGCUUUCAUGGGGUUUAUUGAAUCCAGGAAAGAACUGUGAGUAGUAGCGAACCAGACAUGAAAAGUUUCAGAGAACUACGAAAACUCCGGUCAGUUUUGUCGGGAUCUUGUGACACAGUUCCAGGACUCUAUUGACUAAGGAAAUGAUAUAUAUGUGUGAUUUAUCCUGUUAAAACUUUUAGUGUUCACUUAGGGGUGAGUGCAACCAGUAACUGAAUUUAGACUACGAACUAGAGUAUGACAGUAAAGUCAGGAGCAUGAUGGAGAACACACGGGACAUUGAGGACUAAUGGUCACCACUUAAAUCUUGCUUUACAUACAGUUCAGUUCCAAGUAGUCUGAUACAUAGAUGGCGAGGGGAGUGCUGAUUUGGGGUUGAUUUUGGUAAUUAUAUAUUUUCCUUGAUGACUGUCAUUUUGUUGUCCUACAUGUGCUAUAUGAUAUGCAUAACAACUUGAGAGCACCUUUGCUUCUCUUGAUGUGCUUCGUCAUACAGUUUUUUAAAGUGCACAAGCAAGCUUGCGAGUGAUGACAACUACUAUGACCUACAACCUUGAAUCUAGGUUUCUGGGGUUGAACAUAGGGGCACAGCGCGCUCUCCCAUCUAACCAGUGAAGCGUAAUGAAGGAAAAGCUACAGUAUACAAAUCGUCACAGUCAUUCAGUUUGUCCAAAACUGAGAAAAGCUCUUUAAAAAAACUGGGAAAAGCUCACAUGAUGGAAUGAGAUGAGAUUUCAACAUCAUGAUUGCGUUUUAUAAUUUGAACAACCAAAGUAGAUUGUCGGGGAAACUGAUCCUCGAACACCUAUGGGGCCGGCGGACCGGGCCCCUUUCGGUUCGGCGGGGGGCGGAGGUCGCACGAAGAGCAGAUCGAGGCAAAGCACACGAGCAGUUUACCCAGCUUCGGAGCUCUCCGGAGAGAUAACACUCCUACUGCUGCUU